AAAAACUGGCUUAAAAAACGUUUACAUUUUUUGUUUAAUAACACAACAACCACCAAAUCUAAUCCAAGAAACUUAUCAAUAAAAUGGCGACAUCAACGACAUCAGGGGCACCAACCGAGUCCGCGAAAUGACAGAUCGUCCACGGUGGUAGGAGUGCGCAGAGACGAAAACUCGUCUCGGACGAGUCCAAUCUUUAAAUUAGGGGUGUUGGCAGAAAACAGUGGCGUGGCGUGUACUUACAUGUGUAGGGAAUUCGUCUUAAAGUUUAACAUUUCAAUAUUACCAGUUAUAGUAAAGAUACCAGUAGAAACAUUUUUUGCAAUAAACGCGUUUUUACUCUUUA